GUUAACAAGAAAAUAAAGCUAAUUGUAGCUCGGUUAAAGUUGAACUUUGCAUUUUUCUUUUUAAACGCCAAAUUGGUGUAAAAUAUUGUCUUUCUGGACUCUUUGUGAAUGCAAUGUGUGUACUAAUUUGUGGGAGUACUACUACAUAUGUAAAAAGAGAGGUGUAAAUUAUUUUGUGGUUUAAAGGAUGCUGCAUGUAAAUUGUUACCCUUUAAAUUUUGGAUGUCAAAUAUAUUUAGAAGUUUGAUUGUAGGUACUACAGAAGCCUACCUCGUUCACCUCUUGGUUACAUUCCACCGAGUGUUUACUAGUUAUUGUCCUUUUUAUAAAUGUUCUUCUUAAAAAUCUUAUUAUGGUAAGGAUAAUGUAUUUGUUCCCUUCAGGUGUCUGCCACUGCAGUUGAUGUUGAGACAACUCUCAGUCUUCCUGCAAGUCCUCGCCUGAUACCUGUUUCAAGUGCUACAAGGCAAGUCACAAUUAAAGGUUGGAUGAUCACCUUUAAGGGCUGUGUAAUCUUUGAGGGCAUCACACCAACAUUUGCAAUUGGACUUGCUGCUAUGUUUGCAACCUACUACAUUUUCAGCCUUCAGUAACAAGAUGAGACAGCCUGCCCUGUGGAAUUCAAAAUUAAUGUGUUUGCGCUUCAUUGAUAUAAAUCCAGAGAGAGGGACAAAUGCCAAAAUCAUCAAGCAAGGUUGUCUCUAAGAAGAAAGGUGUGAUGGUCCAGAAGUCGUCUUCUGCAGUCAAAUACACAUGUGGCCAUGCUACUGAAGAAUCUCCUUGACUUUUUAAUGGAACUUCAUAUAGAUCUUGGCAGCACUGGAAUAGUGCUGCAGAGAGGAACAGCGGCUAUCAAAGUGAUGAUCGUCUCUUCAUCCACAAGAACUAAGAUGUAAAAACACAAACCAACCUCACAGGACAAUUUUAAGAGGUAACCUGCAAGUCUAGCUUGCAGUGGCACAGGUGCCUACCCUACGGUUUCAUCCUAAAUGUUUUUUAUGCAUGUUAUUGAUAC